UACGGGGGGGGCAAGCGUUGUUCGGAAUUACUGGGCGUAAGGGCUCGUAGGCGGCCAACUAAGUCAUACGUGAAAUCCCUCGGCUUAACCGGGGAACUGCGUCUGAUACUGGAUGGCUUGAGUUCGGGAGAGGGAUGCGGAAUUCCAGGUGUAGCGGUGAAAUGCGUAGAUAUCUGGAGGAACACCGGUGGCGAAGGCGGCAUCCUGGACCGAUACUGACGCUGAGGAGCGAAAGCCAGGGGAGCAAACGGG
rnacentral:rRNA from 1 species